UGGGGAAUUUUGCGCAAUGGGGGAAACCCUGACGCAGCGACGCCGCGUGGAGGACGAAGGUCUUCGGAUUGUAAACUCCUUUUGCAGGGGAAGAUAAUGACGGUACCCUGCGAAUAAGCCACGGCUAACUCUGUGCCAGCAGCCGCGGUAAGACAGAGGUGGCAAGCGUUGUUCGGAAUUACUGGGCUUAAAGGGCGCGUAGGCGGUGGAGUAAGUCCGGGGUGGAAGUCUAAGGCUCAACCUUAGGAUUGCCCUGGAAACUGCAUCACUUGAGUCAGCGAGGGGAUGGCGGAAUUCCCAGUGUAGCGGUGAAAUGCGUAGAUAUUGGGAGGAAGGCCGGUGGCGAAGGCGGCCAUCUGGCGCUGAACUGACGCUGAGGCGCGAAAGCGUGGGGAGCAAACCGGAUUAGAUACCCGGGUAGUCCACGCCCUAAACGUUGGACACUAGGUGUGGGGGGUAUCGACCCCCUCCGUGCCGAAGCUAACGCUCUAAGUGUCCCGCCUGGGAAGUACGGCCGCAAGGCUA
rnacentral:rRNA from 1 species